CCCGCCCCGUCCUGCUCGGGCCGCCCCGCGGGUGAGCUGGGUGCGCGCUGGGGUCUGGCUCGCUUGCCCAUCCCCGAGCAGACAGCUGCACGGGUGGCCUCGGGGUCCAUGGCCUCCGGCUGGGCCGGGAGAAGCCGUUUCGCAGAGCACGCCCGGGACGGUUGGGGCUGGACUGGGGGACGAGCUGGAGGCCACAGAAGACACCUUGGACACCUGGGUGGCCCCCAGGAAGCUCCUGAACCCCAUCCUGAUUGGCGAGGCAGUGACCCUGGCCCGCCUGGGGCCUCAGACUCCUCCCUGGAUAAUGGUGUGGCCGCCCUGGGCCUUCCACACACCGCUGGCGCAGCGGCCACCCUGGAAUGGCUGUGACCCACACCGCGUCCUGUCCCCCAGGACCCACGCCAGGCAGCAUGAAUAGGGUGGGCCGGGUGAGAAGCCCCUUCUGCUGUGUCUGGCCUCGCCCACCUCAGUGGCCUGAGGCCCCUUCCUCAGAGUGGCCAGUGGGGAGGGGGGGCGCCCAUCACUUCUGUGCAGCCUGGCCCCUCCAGCCAUCGCCAAGCACACCCAAAGCAGCCUAGAUGAGCCAAGGUACCGGGACGCCAUGGGGGACGGCAGAGCAGAGACUCGGACCAUCUGGCUUCUUCCGACCCCCCAGCCGCACCCCCUCGCUCGCUUCCACCUGGAAUGACAGCUCAAGGAGCCCUCCCGGCCACUACACUGGGCCCAUUAUUUUUUAAAUCCUGCUAAAACCCAUCUGAAAAGCCUCAAAGACCGUGACUUUCAAAACAUCAAAACAUGGAAAUGGACCCCCGGCAAUGUGAAGAGGGCAAGAGCCACCUUCCUGGUGUCUUUGUUUUGAGACAGAGUCUCGCUCUGUCACCCAGGCUGGAGUGCAAUGGUGUGAUCUCGGCUCACUGCAACCUCUACCUCCCAGGUUCAAGCAAUUCUCUGUUUCAGUCUCCUGAGUAGCUGAGAUUACAGGCACCUGCCACCACACCUGCCUAUUCUUUUGUAUUUUUACUAGAGACGGGGUUUCACCAUCUUGGCCAGGUUGGUCUUGAACUUCUGACCUCAUGAUCCUCCCACUUUGACCUCGCAAAGUGCUGGGAUGACAGGCACGAGCCACCAUGCCCGGCCGGUUCUGCUUUCUAGAAAAAACUUCGCAGUGUGCACUCCAGAGACGUAACCCGUUCCCACACCUGAGUGGGCAACUCCAGCCUUCGAACACAGCCCUAGGAAAUGACUGCAAAUGAGGGGGAAGCUUUUUAAAUAGACGGAAAAAGGCGUUUGCACCAAGCUACAUCGCAGUGAAAUUAUCACUGGAAAACAGUGGAAAGAGGCCAGGUGUCCCCCCCGCGGGUCAGGUGCAGUCCCGGGGGAACUAGGCCCUGAGAGCGGAGUGGCCGACGGGAGACAC
rnacentral:lncRNA from 1 species